UACGGAGGGUGCAAGCGUUGUCCGGAUUUAUUGGGUUUAAAGGGUGCGUAGGUGGCCUAUUAAGUCAGUGUUUAAAGUCUGCAGCUCAACUGUAGUUAUGGCAUUGAUACUGAUAGGCUUGAGUAAAGUUGAGGUAGGCGGAAUUGAAGGUGUAGCGGUGAAAUGCAUAGAUAUCUUCAAGAACACCGAUUGCGAAGGCAGCUUACUAAGCUUUAACUGACACUGAGGCACGAAAGCGUGGGGAUCAAACAGG
rnacentral:rRNA from 1 species